AGAGUUUGAUCCUGGCUCAGAACGAACGCUGGCGGCGUGGCUAAGGCAUGCAAGUCGAACGGACGUAUCGUGAAGGAAACGGAUCGAUACGUUAGUGGCGAACGGGUGAGGAAUACAUGGACAACGUACCCUGGACUCGGGGAUAGCGGCGGGACUUCGGUCCCUUUGCGAAAGUGCCGGUAAUACCCGAUGACCCCGCGGAACCGCAUGGUCCUGCGGGCAAAGCCGAGACGGUCCUGGAUCGGUUCAUGUCCUAUCAGCUUGUUGGUGGGGUAACGGCCUACCAAGGCAACGACGGGUAGCGGGCGUGAGAGCGUGGCCCGCCACAUCGGGACUGAGACACUGCCCGGACACCUACGGGUGGCUGCAGCAAUGAAUAUUCCGCAAUGGACGAAAGUCUGACGGAGCGACGCCGCGUGCAGGAAGAAGUCCUUCGGGAUGUAAACUGCUGUCAGGGGUUAGGAAUAAAUGACCAGCCCCAAAGGAAGCACUGGCUAACUCCGUGCCAGCAGCCGCGGUAAUACGGAGAGUGCAAGCGUUGUUCGGAAUCAUUGGGCUUAAAGAGCGUGUAGGCGGAAUGUCAGGUGCUGUGUGAAAGCCCCGGGCUCAACCCGGGAAUGGCAUGGCAAACCGGCAUUCUUGAGGCAGG
rnacentral:rRNA from 1 species